rnacentral:rRNA from 1 species
CACGUAGGGUGCGAGCGUUGUCCGGAAUUAUUGGGCGUAAAGAGCUCGUAGGCGGUGUGUCGCGUCGGCCGUGAAAACCUGCAGCUUAACUGUGGGCGUGCGGUCGAUACGGGGCAGACUAGAGGUAGGUAGGGGAGAAUGGAAAUUCCCGGUGUAGCGGUGAAAUGCGCAGAUAUCGGGAGGAACACCGGUGGCGAAGGCGGUUCUCUGGGCCUUACCUGGACGC